rnacentral:rRNA from 1 species
UAACACGUAGGGGACGAGCGUUGUCCGGAUUCAUUGGGCGUAAAGCGCGCGUAGGCGGCCCGGAAAGUCGGAUGUGAAAACCUGGGGCUCAACCCCAGGCGUGCACCCGAUACUCCCGGGCUGGAGGCAGGUAGGGGAGAUCGGAAUUCCUGGUGUAGCGGUGAAAUGCGCAGAUAUCAGGAGGAACACCGGUGGCGAAGGCGGAUCUCUGGGCCUUGCCUGACGCUGAGGCGCGAAAGCUAGGGGAGCGAACAGGAUUAGAUACCCUGGUAGUCCUAGCCGUAAACGUUGGGUGCUAGGUGUGGGAGGACAUCGACCCCUUCCGUGCCGAAGCUAACGCAUUAAGCACCCCGCCUGGGGAGUACGGCCGCAAGGCUA